rnacentral:rRNA from 1 species
AACGAACGCUGGCGGCAGGCUUAACACAUGCAAGUCGAACGCCCCGCAAGGGGAGUGGCAGACGGGUGCGUACCGCGUGGGAACAUACCCUUUUCUACGGAAUAGCUCUGGGAAACUGGAAUUAAUACCGUAUACGCCCUACGGGGGAAAGAUUUAUCGGGGAAGGAUUGGCCCGCGUUGGAUUCGCUAGUUGGUGGGGUAAAGGCCUACCAAGGCGACGAUCCAUAGCUGGUCUGAGAGGAUGAUCAGCCACAUUGGGACUGAGACACGGCCCAAACUCCUACGGGAGGCAGCAGUGGGGAAUAUUGGACAAUGGGCGAAAGCCUGAUCCAGCCAUGCCGCGUGAGUGAUGAAGGCCUUAGGGUUGUAAAGCUCUUUCACCGAUGAAGAUAAUGACGGUAGUCGGAGAAGAAGCCCCGGCUAACUUCGUG